rnacentral:rRNA from 1 species
GACGAACGCUGGCGGCGUGCUUAACACAUGCAAGUCGAACGGAAAGGCCCUGCUUGCAGGGUACUCGAGUGGCGAACGGGUGAGUAACACGUGGGUGAUCUGCCCUGCACUUCGGGAUAAGCCUGGGAAACUGGGUCUAAUACCGGAUAGGAGCCAUUUUUAGUGUGAUGGUUGGAAAGUUUUUUCGGUGUAGGAUGAGCUCGCGGCCUAUCAGCUUGUUGGUGGGGUAAUGGCCUACCAAGGCGGCGACGGGUAGCCGGCCUGAGAGGGUGGACGGCCACAUUGGGACUGGGAUACGGCCAGACUCCUACGGGAGGCAGCAGUGGGGAAUAUUGCACAAUGGGCGCAAGCCUGAUGCAGCGACGCCGCGUGGGGGAUGACGGCCUUCGGGUUGUAAACUCCUUUCGCUAGGGACGAAGCUUUUUGUGACGGUACCUAGAUAAGAAGCACCGGCUAACUACGUG